UUACAUGUCCAUGCUCAGUGUUUUUAUCUAUUUUUUUCACACAGGGGGCAAAGGGGACCGGGAAAUGAUUCCACUGAACGACAUGGGACCAGAUGCCUACUCCACACUGGACCAGAGAGGCAGAAGGAAUACUCUGGAUAACACACUCGAACCUGCUGACAGAAAUGCAGUACAGAAAAACUGAUAGUGUGCAUCACGAGACGACAGCCUCCUCCCACCUACUGCCCUUGCUGAACUGACAAAUGGGGGACCACAACACUACGGAUGGGACUCAAAACUCCAUCCUUUACACUCAACUCUCCUGUCCCCUCUUCACUCUUUUUGCAGCUCCUCUUCUUUCUCUCUUUCCCUUUUGGUUACAUUCCUUUAUCGCAGCUUGGAAAACUUAACAAAAUCACACGGAGACAAACGGACGUGGAUCUACGCUCCCUGUGGAAAACCGGACGAGACACUUUGACCACUUUUGUGCGCCGCGAGACCCUUAACUCCAAAACCACUCGAUCAGACACCACGGCUACAACACUACAUCUCCAAGCUACACUACGACACUGCAACUCGCCUGGACAACAUUAAUUCUCUCUUCAACCAAAGGCAGAGACUGUGGUCAGAACAGGACCCUUUUUGGUGAACUUUUACACAACACUUCAAGGACAUGUCUUUCUCUCUCUAUGAUUGUUCAAUACUACAAACAAAUGUUUUUCCUACCAUUGAUAACCAAUGUUUAAUGAUCUAAUCAGAUAUGUGUGAAAGCUUCUGCUUCUGUUUUUGGUUGUGGUUGUUCCUCUUCUUAAUCCGCUCUGUACCAUAGUUAAUGUACAUGUGCCAAAUGACACUGCUACCGCUGCCAAUUCUAAAUGCAACAAACCGGCGUCUGCUUUGUUUUGUUUGCAGCUUGUGACGGUCAACAUGAUUCAUGGGGGCUGCUGCGUAUUUCUGUAUAGGUUUGUGAUCUGUAGAUGUAAAAGGGUGGAGGUGCCAGUAUCAAUACAAACAUAUAAUUAUUCUCCAUCUCGUCGGUGUAUUCUACGUUUCUGUUAAGUGGCGUUUCUGUUAAGUGUAAGCAUCUUAACUUUGUGAUUCUUGGGAGAUAUUACAGGAUUCCUGGGCAGCAUUUCCGUCUGUAAAUCUUAUGAAUGUGUUCAAACAAACAGCAUCUCUGUAUGUGGGCUAACUGGAGUGCCUCGCUUAUCAGGAUAGUUCUGAUGAGUGUGCCUAACAUGAAACAGGGGAGGGGGGGGAGGUAACCAAACAAGGUGUAUUUUUCUCAGCAGUUGGGGAAUACUGUACAUUAAACUCGCCUGUUUUCUAUUCUGCAAAAAAUAAUGGGACAGGAUCUUGCUCGUGUGAUGUAAUUGGAAAUGUCUUUUUAUAAGGUAUACAACUCUAAUGUACUGCUUCAAAGUCUACCUGUCUUUAACACUACACAACAGUACAUGGGAGAAGACACAGUGCUGUCUGCUUUUACCUACAUUUCUUACAUACAGUUAUGUAGAAACAUGUUUAGUGCCGAGUGAGAUGUAGAUACUGAGUGGAUGAUUAAAA